CCCCGGAGAGCGGGGACCGCCCCUCUGGGCCGUGCAUCCGCCCCCCCGUCACGGGCGCUGUGCACCGCCUCCGCCCCCCAGGCCCCAGCGGCUGUUCCCGCUGUGACGGUGCUGCCCCGCCGCCGCUGGGGUAGCUGCUCACUGAAAGAAGGAGCGAAGCAGUUAACUGUGUGGGGAGUCCAUCAGUGAAAACUUUUGCAACAGACAUUCAAGAGUGGUUUACACCUGAGGCUGUACUCCCUGGUGAUGAGGACAGGAUAGCAGAGUGUAAUUCCUGGUUUCUGUUUCUGGCCCUGGGGACCCACCAGGUCUUUAUGAUUGUGAAUGCCAUCCUGUACAUUGCUGGACCACAGAAUAAAAACCCAGAAGCGUUAUGUGAUAAAAUGAUGAAGACACUCAACGCUGCGUUGGUGCGCAAGGUCUCAGGCUUGUCCCGGCGGUAGCAGGAGCUCUGGAGCC
ensembl:lncRNA